AUUCCAAAAACAUACACAGCAACAACAUACAGCACAAACAACAAGAACGCAACCACAGAAUGCAAAAAGAUAAACACAAACAGAAUAAACACACACGCACAAAAGUCUACAAGUCAACAAAAACAAGGAAAGUGAAAGAAGCCCCUCCCGUCUUUACAAAAACACAGAAAGAAAGAAAGAAAGAAAGAAAGAAAGAAAGAAAGAAAGAAAGAAAGAAAGAAAGAAAGCCUUUCCUCUUUAAAAAUGUACCAUACCAUAUAAAAAAUAUUUUCCAGGUGAUUAAAACAACAACAACAGCAGCAUAAACUUCAGGCUGAACUUCAGUGGAAUGUAGGUACCUAAUUCCUUUAGAUUUCUUUAAAAAUUGCAGCCGAAAUGCUUUGCUGGGUGCCUUUUGCAGAGCCCAGGUCUGUGUGAACAGUUGUGGGGCAUUUUUCCUUUUCCCUUCAGUCCUAAGGAGGUUAAAGCUCCAUCUGGUGUUUCGAAGGAUCCGUAUUAAGAGGGGAAAGAGCUGUUUGAUAUCUGUCCGAUCGGAGGGGUUUGAGCUGAGCCGCGGUGUGUUACCCUGUGUGCUAAAGACGUCAAAGGCUGGAGAGCUCCCUCGUGUCGCUUUUGAAGCCUCGCUUACCCAGAAAUCGAACUGCUGCCAAUCUCCAUCCUCCGCCAGCGGCUGCAGAGGAAGGGGCGCGUGAUUUUUUUGUGACAAAGGGGACGACUGAGAAACUCUUGGGUGUUCGUUUUCUCGCAGAGAUGAGUAGGGGCUGCUGCCUUCUGCUGCUGCUCAGCAACUUAUGCGGAAUCAGGGGUGAUGUGGUGCUGGAACAAGGUGCCCAGGCCUUGGAAGUCCGAGAGGGCGAAGAAGUGACCUUCCAGUGCCGUGUGAAGGGAGGGGAGAUGAACAGCUACUGGAUGUACUGGUACAGAAAGGGGCAGCAGGGCCCCCUGACCUGGAUUUACCGAGAAGGGGACCACUAUGGAGAAGGCUUCCAGGGCCGCUUCGUAGGGGAAGUUGAUAGCUCCAACAACAGGUUCACCCUCAAGAUCCUGAGCGCAGAGCUGCGAGACAGAGCCGUAUAUUACUGCGCUUCCAGUCCCCACGGUGCCACAGCUGUGCUGCGGAGCAGAGCAAAAACUGACAGAGCGGGGGGAGAGCGAGGCAUCGUUUGCAAACUACAGAUCAUGGCCCGCUCUGGGGAACAAGUGGUUGGGGGAUCUCUCUAUCUCUCUUUCUCUAUGUCUUUGUGUGCUUGUGAAGCUGUCAGGGAAGCCAUCCGGACAGAACUGGAAGGAGUGCAUCUGUCAGACAGUAGUAGUAUAGAAUUUAGUUCUGUUUAUACCAAGCCUAGGUUGGAUUCUUUCAAAGGAGUAUAAUUCAUUAAAAGCAGUUUUAGAGAUCCACGGGUAUGUAGGAUAGGAUAGGAUAGGAUAGGAGAGAGA